rnacentral:rRNA from 1 species
UACAGAGGGUGCGAGCGUUAAUCGGAAUUACUGGGCGUAAAGCGCGCGUAGGCGGCUUUGCAAGUCGAGUGUGAAAUCCCCAGGCUUAACCUGGGAACUGCAUUCGAGACUGCAUAGCUAGAGUAUGGGAGAGGGAAGUGGAAUUUCAGGUGUAGCGGUGAAAUGCGUAGAUAUUGGGAGGAACACCAGUGGCGAAGGCGGCUCGCUGGACCGGUUCUGACGCUGAGGCGCGAAAGCGUGGGGAGCAAACGGG